rnacentral:rRNA from 1 species
CCUACGUGUGGCUGCAGUGGGGAAUAUUGGACAAUGGGCGAAAGCCUGAUCCAGCCAUGCCGCGUGUGUGAAGAAGGCCUUCGGGUUGUAAAGCACUUUCAGUGGGGAAGAAAGCCUUGGGGCUAAUACCCUCGAGGAAGGACAUCACCCACAGAAGAAGCACCGGCUAACUCCGUGCCCGCAGCCGCGGUAAUACGGAGGGUGCGAGCGUUAAUCGGAAUUACUGGGCGUAAAGCGCGCGUAGGCGGUCUGAUAAGCCGGUUGUGAAAGCCCCGGGCUCAACCUGGGAACGGCAUCCGGAACUGUCAGGCUAGAGUGCAGGAGAGGAAGGUAGAAUUCCCGGUGUAGCGGUGAAAUGCGUAGAGAUCGGGAGGAAUACCAGUGGCGAAGGCGGCCUUCUGGACUGACACUGACGCUGAGGUGCGAAAGCGUGGGUAGCAAACAGGAUUAAUACCCCUGUAGUC